rnacentral:rRNA from 1 species
GGUGACUCUAGUGUCGGGGUUGGGGUGUAAACGUAGUGGUCGAGCGGUAUGGUGGUGUGCUGGGCGGAAUGCGCGCGUAGGUGGUUGGUUAAGUUGGGUGUGAAAUCUGUUGGCGGAACUGGGAGGGUACGCUGAAGACGGUUCGGCUUGAUGUCGAGAGAGGGGUGCAGAAUUCCCGGGGGAGGGGUGGAAUGCGUAGAUAUCGGGAGGAAUACCAGUGGCGAAGGCGGCGCCCUGGCUCGCACCUGACACUGAGGCGCGAAAGCGUGGGGAGCGAACGGAAUUAGAUACCCAGUAGUC